rnacentral:rRNA from 1 species
GCGUAUCGAAUGUGACCCCAGGAUGUGCGAGGCCACCCGCCGAGUUUAA